AACGAACGCUGGCGGCAUGCCUAACACAUGCAAGUCGAACGAGACCUUCGGGUCUAGUGGCGCACGGGUGCGUAACGCGUGGGAAUCUGCCCCUCGGUUCGGAACAACAGUUAGAAAUGACUGCUAAUACCGGAUAAUGACGAAAGUCCAAAGAUUUAUCGCCGAGGGAUGAGCCCGCGUAGGAUUAGCUUGUUGGUGGGGUAAUGGCCCACCAAGGCGACGAUCCUUAGCUGGUCUGAGAGGAUGAUCAGCCACACUGGGACUGAGACACGGCCCAGACUCCUACGGGAGGCAGCAGUGGGGAAUAUUGGACAAUGGGCGAAAGCCUGAUCCAGCAAUGCCGCGUGAGUGAUGAAGGCCUUAGGGUUGUAAAGCUCUUUUACCAGGGAUGAUAAUGACAGUACCUGGAGAAUAAGCUCCGGCUAAACUCCGUGCCAGCAGCCGCGG
rnacentral:rRNA from 1 species